CUGUUCCCCAACUCUGGAAAUCACUGAACUCUGCGAUUCUUCAUCAAAGCAGUUUAAAUCCAUAGUUUUCCUUUUUUUUGUACGUACUACAGCAUUUUAGUAUUGACCAGGUUGACUACAGGCAUCUGUCUCAUAUCUAAAUUUAAUCAGACUCAAACAUUAGAUUUCUCUGCUGCCUUUGUCAGUUCUAGCCUUUAUUAAAAAGGCAAUCAAUAUAUUUUGCUGUGGGAGAUACAGGGUAAUACUUAAAAGCUGUUCUCAGAACAGGCAUGGAAAAUAGUACUUCUUUUCCAGGUUGAUUGCUUUGAACUGCCAGGCUGUAGAGGUUUCUCUUGCUCCACCUGACUGAUCUAUUGUAUCUUGAAUUCUACCUUGCUCAGUGGAUUAGAUGCAUCAAAAGUCAAUGACAUAUUCUAAGGCUUCAAAUGGAAAGUAUGCACCCAAAUUGAAAUUGCAAAACCAGAAAUGUACUCAAUUCUUCCUAAGUUUUAAGACUGCACAGAGAAAAACAUUUUCGCCUACCUACCUACAUUUUCACCUGAAAUACUUCUAUGUAGAAUUCUGCUUCAGGGCCUGGCUAGUUAUUGCUCAAGUUUGAACAGAUAGACUCUUCAGCUUCCUUUAACUGCAUGCGGCUCAGGGUGCAGCCCUUGCCACAAGGAGUAAGUAACGUAAAUUGCUUCGGCACUGACUGGAGCCAAGAAGGAAAUGUGGUCAGACGAGUGCCCUGACCACUACACCAGAGAUUCUCUCUGGCCCAGUCAUUUUAAUUAUUCUGUUGAAAGCCAAGCAGGAGGUAGAGUGCCUUGUGCCCAACUUGGCAGCGCUGUGCUGUCUGCUGCGCUUUGCCAUCGGCCUGCUUGCAGCCUCUUGAGCACAUGGGUGAUUGCAUGCCUCCUUUUUUCAGCAUCUCUGAGUCUCUUCUUGCAGAGAAACCUUGAGCAUCUAAUUCAGAAUGCAGAACGGAUGUACUUGCUGGACUUGCUAUCCUGGAAGAUAAGAUCUUCCUAUCUCUACUGUUACACAACUUGAGGUUUCCAUGGCCUGCACGGAAGGGUCAUGUAAUAAACCAACACUAUAGCAAGCGUGACUUUGAAGAGAAGAGAGAAAAACAGAGAACAUGAAGGCGGUAGUAGUAAGGUCUCAACAUUACUCAACAUCAAACUAGCUAUAUAAACUUGCUGAUAUGUUUUAUUAUAUUUUUUUUAGCACUUGAGACUCUCAUGACGGCCAUCUGCUUCUGUUGCAUUUCCUGAAAGCUGUUUGUUCCAAGAAACACGGGUGUGAAUGACAGUUUUUACAUAUUUAUUCAAGGAAAUUAGUAGAAUAAGCUUUAUCAGUAGAAUAAGUAUAAUCCAUGUUCCCAAGCUUGUUGGUUGAGUGAUGCCAAAGAGCAAAUUUAAAACACAGGGCAGUUUACAGUUCUGUUAUUACAUGGUAGCAAAGGCUCAUUAGAAUUCUCAUGAUGUUUCUGCUUUUCCGAAGUAUGUAAACUGUAAAAAUGGAUGAUAGACAAGCUUUACAUCUUGGGUAAUGUGUGAUUAAAUUACAGCCAUUUAAACUAAAAUACAUGAAGAUUAUCACUUUGGGAUGUUGUUUGCUAAAAACGUCGUCUUUACUUUCAGAGCUAUCUAUGUUUAGUCUGAAAUGCACAAUACCUCUGUGUCCUUUACCCAAAGCAUACAGUUCCUGCUGUGGAACACAAUAACCAGGAAGAUAGAUCAGGCAGGUGAGGAACCACAACCAAUUUACAAAUAAAUAGAAGCAACAGGAAUGUCUCUUCCAGAGCUCAGUUCACAGCGUUCUGUCUGAAGGAGAUGGUGAAAGCUGGGAAGUCAAACAUGUCUCUUCCCCAAGAACUGGGAUUUCAACAGAAUAUAAAACAUGUUUACAUAUUCGCCUGGAGAACCUGACAAAGAAUACUGCUGGAUCUUCAAAGGCCUGCUGUAACAAUUAUUCAAGCUAGAUAUUAGGGUGUUGUUUUGACAUCUUUUCUGCUGUGAAGCCAGAUGAAGGAAGUGCUGUGUCACAAUUCAAGACUAAACUGAGAAAUACAGUUUACAGGAUGAUCCUUCCAGUUUGUUUGAAAUCUGUGAGUGACAUAAAGCACUUUCAUGCACAUCAAAGAUUACCCACUGAGGUAAUCCCAAAACAGGCUCUGCUUGGACUGGAAUUUGCAAUGGGAAGAACACAAGACCACCCCAGUGAGAUCAGGCCAGAUCCAACCUGCCCAGAUGCUCCUGCUGUUUGGUAAACCAGAAGAGAAGCUCCAGGGAACAUGAAUUCGAAAAGAGAGCAGAGGAGCCAUUUUCUGUACUUCAUACAUCCACAGAAGGG